CCCUUAGAUGUCCUGGGCCGCACGCGCGCUACACUGACAUGUUCAACAAGCCUCCUAGUUCGACAGGAUUUGGGAAAUCUUUGAACGCAUGUCGUGAUAGGGAUAGAUCAUUGCAAUUAUUGAUCUUGAACGAGGAAUUCCUAGUAAACGCGAGUCAUCAGCUCGCAUUGAUUACGUCCCUGCCCUUUGUACACACCGCCCGUCGCACCUACCGAUUGAAUGUUUCGGUGAAGAUUCCGGAUAGGACUUUUUUGAUUUAUUUCAAUUUUGUCUUAAAAGCUGUCUAAACCUCAACAUUUAGAGGAAGGUGAAGUCGUAACA
rnacentral:rRNA from 1 species